CUCAGUUCCAACCUGGUUUUCUUCAGGAAGAUGCUGCCUGACCUGCUGAGUUUCUUCAGUGCAUUGUGGUUCUCAGAGAAAAGCUUACAUCUCGUCUCUGUCUUAAAUGGGUGACUCCUUGUUUCGAAACAGUGACCCACUGGUUCGAGAUUCUUCAACAAGAGGAAACUUCCUCCCCACAUCCAGCCGGUGAAGACCCUUUGGGAUGUUACAUGUUUCAAUCAAGGCACCUCUUACUCUUCUAAGCUCCAGUGGAUACAAGCCCAACCAAUCCAACCAUCCCUUAUGAGAUAACCCUCCCAUUCCAGGAUUCCCACCAUCUGGGUCAUGCCCUCUUCUCACUGCUACCAUCGAGCAGGAGGAACAGAAGCCUGAAGUCCCACACCACCAGGUUCAGGAACAGAUUCUUUCCUACAACCAUCAGGUUCUUCAACCAACCUGCACAACCCUAAUUCUACCUCAGCAACAGAACACUACAGACCACCUCUUGCACUGCCAUGGACUUGUCUCUGGUUUUUUGCAUUAAUGUCUUGUUUUGCACACUUUUUCUUCUUCACUGUCUUGUAUAAUUUAUGUAUAACUUAUGUUCUGUGUGUUGUUGUCUGAACCUACAUGCCUGUGAUGCUGCUGUAAGCAAGUUUUUCAUUGUACCUGUACCUCAGUGUACUUGUGCAUGUGACAAUGAACUCAACUUGAUGACUUAACUUGACAAUAUCCAAAAUUAAUAUUCAUCGAUGUCCUGCAUCACUCAUCUGUAAUCAUGCAAUGAGUUCAGAGUGUAUAGCUUGCAAUCAACCUGGCAGUAAAGUUAAGGAUGAACGUACAUCUUAAUAAUUCAAAAUAAUUCUUGCACGUUAAACAUGAACUCCUGACUCACAAUUUACCUUGUCGUGGCCCUUGCAGCUUAUUGUCGACCUGUACUGCACUUUCUCUGUAACUGUUACUGUAACACUAUAUUCUGCAUUUUUCUAUUACUUUUCCCUUGUAGUGCCUCAAUGUACUUAUGUUUUGAGAUGAUCUGUAUGGAUAGUUUGCAAAACUAACUUUUUCACUGUAAGUACACGUGACAAUAAUAAGCCAAUACCGACUGAAAGAUGCACCAACCUCCAUGUAGUAAAAACAACAUUAGAUGUUAAUUGGUAAUCUUGCAAUUAUGGUCUAAUUGGGUUUAGGAGAUGAAUAAUGCUUUUCCCCUGUGGUUUCCAAGAUUAUUUAAAAUUGUUAACUUUGCUACUGCAUUGAAUUGAUUCACUGACGAUGUCAUCACCAUGAUCGACCCUUAUCCAGAUGGGAAUUGCAUUGAUACUGGAGGAAAAUAGAUGGAAUGCAUUAGCAGUCAAAUGGAUUUUGUAGUUCCAGUAUCAUUACUAUUCUUUGGGCUAUUGAGCAGAUAAUGACCUUAAUUGUAAGAUAACUGUUGUUUUAAUAACAUUGUUAAUAAUCACAGAAUAAUGGGCCAAAGGAAAGCACUUUGCCCUUAAUUCUGAAAGGGUCAAAGAGAAGUGCUUUGUCUAUUUAAUCUUGAAAAACAUAAAUUAA